GCCAAGGCCAAACUGACACAAGGAAUUAUGCCAAGACUUGAGUGAAAAUUUCUGUUUGCGGAGCUGACUGAGAGGCUGAGGGCACUGGAAAGGUGUUUUCAUUCAAGUGCACCUGAAGAACCCAACCUGAAUUAACCAGUCUGACUAGGCAGUUUUUAGAUAAAAGCAAAGGCCAGGAGACAUUUGUGUUUUUGCUGCUGCUCAGCAAUGCCCACUGGGAACCUCAUGCUGCUAUUCACUGAAAGCAAUAGGAAACAGUCCCAGAGAAUUAGCCCCUGCUCUAGCUGGAUCCCUCCUGCCCAUUUAUCAGAGGAUGCCUGAUGAUAUUAGCAACAGCUGAGCAGUACUGGUUCAUCUCCUAUGGUUUAUAUGCAACUACAGAAGAGGCAGCUCAUGACCAGCCACUGCUGAAAGUGGUGCCUGCUCUGUCAUGUUCAUCCUUGCCAUGCUGCCAGCACCCACCGGCAAUGCCUUUCUUCGAUCACAGGGAAAGGAGCCAUGCAAAAAGGUAAUUCUGAAGCUGGAGAAACUCUUCAGAUGACCGUGGUGGAGUCAGUGGAGCAGCACAGGAAGCACUAACAUGGGCUGCUGGGUACAUUCAAACUGGAAAUCUUCUGGAAAAAGCCCCGUGGCCUCACAUUGCCAUUGCCACUAAUGCUACAGAAGAGCCAUGCAAAUAGUUUCAGAAGCAGACAUAACAAGGUGGAAGUAAAAAUCACAAUCAUUUUUGCAGAAACACUUCUUGAAGGCAUUUUAACAACUCCUUUGGUUUUAACAUCUUUUUUAAAAAAAGUUAAACAGCACAAAAAUUACUCAUUGGGCUUAGAAAAAAGAAUGACUCUAGCAAAACAUGAUCACAAGUUGUGAUAUUAGCAACCACCCCUUCAACACUAUGGUUACGUAGGCAUUGAAUGAGAAGGCAGAAGGGUAUGUUUGUAAAGGAAACCAGUUUUUCAUAGGUUACUCCCUGACAGUGGGAGACCACAGACUGAGAAGAGCUGACUACCCUUCCGGUAGCAGUAAUGCAUUUACACUAUUAAUAGCAAGAAAGAAAAACACUGGCUGAUUUUCUUUGCAUCAUAAUCUGAUAACCCCUGCAUUAACCUUGCUGGACACAGAUCUGUUAACUUUUACCAUGCUUCUCCGAUUAAACUAUUGAAGUCUGAGACAGAAAUAGCUACCCACAGCUGUUAUGAAUUGAUACAUCCCCUGAUGAUGCUUGGCGCUGCCUGCAGAAAAAAAAAAAGUUUCUUAUUUUAUUCUUUGCCAUGAAGUUAACCUUUUUAUUAUCUUUUUUUACUAUUUUGAAUAUUCUUUCAUUGCAAAGUUAUUCCAUUAGACUGCUCUCCCAUUUGCUUUGCUUGGAAAGGAACACAGACUAUUUGAGUAUGCUCCACAAAGGUAACUUCAUACCUGAUACUUUUGUUUUAGAAAGAGGAAGGGUGGAGGGCACUUGCAGGGCUGCGUGGCCAUACGUGCAUGAAGUUACACUGGAGUAUAUAUUGCACUUUCAAUGCAUGCUCCAAUAAGCAACAAAUCCUUAGAUGUCCUCUGCCCAGCUGGUAACGACAGAAAGAAGGAUAGAGCCACUUGAGGCCAAUGUUCUGCAAAUGCCUGCUCACAUGCAGUAACAGCCACAGUUUUAGUGCAUGCUCAGAAUGGAAAUCCUCAAAUCUGCAAACAGCAGAAAAAUGGCAAAAUCCCCAAAUCUGCAAAGCCACUUCUGCAAACUGGUUUAUGUAUGUACUGAGCAAACAUAAAUUUUCAGAAACACAUUAAGUGAUCCUUCCUGUAGCUGUUUAGGACUCCUGAGGACUUAUCAUCACAGCUGAAGGACAUUUAAGCACUGGUUGAAUGUCACAUUUGCAAAGUAAAGCUUUCAUAUAUCUUUUUGAGCCUGCUUGAAAAGUUGUCUUAAUUACCAACAGUCAGAUGAUGUCCUUGGACAUAAAGCAUGAUUACAGAAAACAAAGUAUGGGAGUGAUAACAGUGACAGCAAAAAACCAUACAAACUGCUGAUUCAGUGGCAAAAGCAUUUCUACAGUACAAAUGAUGCAGCCCACCUGCCAGGAUCAUUUGGACAGCCCUUAGCAAUGGGACAUCCAGACACAAGGCACUUGCCCACAACCUUCAAGGGACUACAAAACACCCAAAGCUGCCCAUUCAUGAGGCCAGUAGUGGCACUUUGGGAAGCUACAUCAUUGCAGGGCACCAAUCCACCCCAGGUCCACAUACCCUACUUGUGCAGCUGUGUCCUGUACUGUCUGCAGCAGGCUCCCCCAUGGUGGGAAGCCACCAGGCACACAGUUGCUUUGCCAAUCAACACAAAACCAGCCACAUCUUCCACACACAAAUGGGCCGGCAUGUAAUACUGAUGGGGCUUGGUUUUCUUUCCCAUAAUCUCCAGUGUUGCCUUGAUUCAGAAUAAAUGAAAGCAUGUUGUGUCUCCAAAAGCUCCAAAUAACUUGUGUGUUCUCAUCUUAUGCACUUUACUCUGUGUGUUAGUCUUCUGUUUGCCCUGCAUCUAGAGGAGAGAUUACAAGUUGCACCAUCAGCAACAAAACAAGGUCUAAGCCAAAAGCAAGGAUCCGAGUCAUCCACUUGGGAGAGUAUUUUAGCCAUAUAUCACUGUUUGUUUCCAGGCAAACCAGUACAGUUAUGCAACAUAAAUUCUUCUAAAGCAUUUGGGACUUCAGUUCAAUUUAAAAUCCUGUAGGUUUUAUGGUCAGAGUGAGUGAUUACUAAAUGUGUGCAUACAAACAAUGACUUGGGAAGAAGCAAGUGUGGAGGAUUAAAGGGCAUAUGGAGCCUCAAGCACACACUGGGCAAGCUGUGGCCAGACUGUACCAGAGGAUGUGAGAUCUAAAGAACCCGACUCAGAAGGUGGGUUAUAAUAUUUACAGCUCCCAAUCAGUUUUUCUCUCCCAGUGCAGUGAGUGUUUUCUGUGAGUACAAGGCCUGAUUGCAAUCUCCUGCAAGGGCAUUUCCACAGGCUUCUUUAGAGCCGGGUGACUUUGCCUAGAUUAACUACUGAUUUAUGCUAUCCUAAAUGUGGAUGAAGAUCUGAUCUAUUUAAAAACAAGACUCACAGCAGGAAUAGAGGGAGACAUUAAAAUGUCUCAAAUCUGAGUAUUUUGUCACUCCAAAGUGUUAAGCCAGAGGUAUAAAUUAAGCUGCCUAUUCACC